GGCUGGUCCAGAGGUAGUGUCACAGUCAGCUACAGAUCAAACUCCUCGUUCAACUCUUCCACCUUCUCACUACUGCACUUGACUAGAAAA
rnacentral:Y_RNA from 1 species